UACGUAGGGUGCAAGCGUUGUCCGGAAUCAUUGGGCGUAAAGCGCGCGUAGGUGGCUUUGUAAGUCCGUUGUGAAAGUCAGAGGCUCAACCUUUGAAUGCCGAUGGAUACUGCGGAGCUAGAGUACGGAAGAGGCGAGUGGAAUUCCUGGUGUAGCGGUGGAAUGCGCAGAUAUCAGGAGGAACACCAAUAGCGAAGGCAGCUCGCUGGGACGUUACUGACACUAAGGCGCGAAAGCGUGGGGAGCGAACAGG
rnacentral:rRNA from 1 species